GUGAAUCAUCGAAUCUUUGAACGCAAAUUGCACUCUCUUCGGAGAGUAUGCCUGUUUGAGGGUCAGCCUAAAAAAAAUCGACAUAGUUGCUGUUUCGCGGUGACAUUCGUCGGAAAUUGGGCCACCUUAAACCUUUGGGUUUUAAGCGGCUUAAAAUUUUCUUUUCGUUUUCACGAACGUUUUUAAGUUUUUAUUUCUUACACGUUUAAGGUUUCGAUUUUUAUUAGACGUGGCCGUUGGUUCGGAUUCCGUUCAUAAAUA
rnacentral:misc_RNA from 1 species